GACGAACGCUGGCGGUGUGCUUAACACAUGCAAGUCGAACGGUAAGGCCCUUUCGGGGGUACACGAGUGGCGAACGGGUGCGUAACACGUGAGUAACCUGCCCUCAUCUCUGGGAUAACAGUCGGAAACGGUUGCUAAUACUGGAUAUGAGCUUGCAAGGCAUCUUGUGGGUUGGAAAGAUUUUUUUGGUUGGGGAUGGACUCGCGGCCUAUCAGCUUGUUGGUGAGGUAGUGGCUCACCAAGGCUUCGACGGGUAGCCGGCCUGAGAGGGCGACCGGCCACAUUGGGACUGAGAGACGGCCCAAACUCCUACGGGAGGCAGCAGUGGGGAAGAUUGCACAAUGGACGGAAGUCUGAUGCAGCAACGCCGCGUGCGGGAUGACGGCCUUCGGGUUGUAAACCGCUUUCAAUUGUGACGAAGCUUUUUGUGACGGUAGCAGCAGAAGAAGCACCGGCUAACUACGUG
rnacentral:rRNA from 1 species